CUCAAUUACCCAAAGGAGAAGGAGAAAAAUCUACUUUGGAAGACCAAUCAACCAAUAAACAAUUAGAAGAUUAAGAGAGCCAUAAAGAACGCUCAGCAAGCCCAAGACAUAGUUGAAUUGCCCUAGAAUUAUUAACGGACGCUUUGGGACAAUAAUUUGUUAAAAUUAAGACAGAAUUGAAAUGAAUAUCAAGGAAAUAAAA